CGACCACCACUACACCACUACACAACGACCACGGCGACGCCGCCGUCAAUCUCUCAUUUCUUCCUCUAUCUACACCAGUACCUCUCUCCCUCCCUCUCAAGCUGCGUUCUACCACCCGCUGUACAUUGCCUAGCGGGCUGCUGCCCACCUACCUACCUACCUACCUACCUACCUACCUACCUACCUACCUACCUACCUACCUACCUACCUAGCUGUUUGCAUCUCAAUAUCGCACUUCCUCAUCAUCAGCAGCAGCACCACCAACAACAUCAGCAGCACCACCACCAACAUCACCAGCACCAACAACAACAUCAGCAGCACCACCAGCAGUAGCAGCGGCAGCGGCAGUGCCAUCACCACCACCAUGGUUGGGAGAGUUGUUGGAAAGUUGGACUGGAAGGGGGCUAGGGGGGCAACGAUGAGGGGAUCGCGAUCCUCAAAACUGCUCACACAGACAUACAUACAUACAUACACACUCACCCGUGUUGUAUAUGUGAGAUAUGCACGUGCAUGGGUGCACGUGGCGCAAACCCACCACCUUCAUCACCAUCAC
rnacentral:lncRNA from 1 species